AUUGAACGCUGGCGGCAGGCUUAACACAUGCAAGUCGAGCGAGCGGCGGACGGGUGAGUAAUGUCUGGGAAACUGCCUGGUGGAGGGGGAUAACUACUGGAAACGGUAGCUAAUACCGCAUACUAUCAGAUGUGCCCAUAUGGGAUUAGCUAGUAGGUGGGGUAAUGGCUCACCUAGGCGACGAUCCCUAGCUGGUCUGAGAGGAUGACCAGCCACACUGGAACUGAGACACGGUCCAGACUCCUACGGGAGGCAGCAGUGGGGAAUAUUGCACAAUGGGCGCAAGCCUGAUGCAGCCAUGCCGCGUGUGUGAAGAAGGCCUUCGGGUUGUAAAGUACUUUCAGCGGGGAGGCGUUACCCGCAGAAGAAGCACCGGCUAACUCCGUGCCAGCAGCCGCGGUAAUAC
rnacentral:rRNA from 1 species